GCCCAGCUAGCUCAGUGGGUAGAGCAUGAGACUAUUAAUUUCAGGGCCAUAGGUUUGAGCCCCAAGUUGGGCA